rnacentral:rRNA from 1 species
GAUGAACGCUGGCGGCGUGCUUAACACAUGCAAGUCGAACGAUGAAGAGAAGAAUCUGAGCUUCGGCAGAAAUUCAUUUCGGAUUAGUGGCAGACGGGUUAGUAACGCGUGAGCAACCGACUUAUUACAAAGAGAUAGCCUUGGGAAACCAGGAUUAUUACCAUAUCACAUUGCGACGAAGCAUUUCGAUCUAGUCAACGCUAUGGCGGUAAGACAUGUGCUCGCGUCCCGUUAACCGGGUGGUGGGGUAACGGCUCACCAGAGCGACGACGGGUAACCGGCAUGAGAGAGAGAGCCGUCACACUGGAACUGGGACGCGGUCCGGACUCCUACGCGAGGCAGCAGAGGGGAAUAGUGCAAAAUGGAGGGAACUCUGAUGCAGCGACGCCGCGUGAGUUAUGAAAGAAUUCGUGAAGUAAUACUCUGUUCUAUGGGAAGAAAAUGACGGUACCUAAGGAGAAAGCCCCGGCUAAAUACGUG